AUUGAACGCUGGCGGCAGGCCUAACACAUGCAAGUCGAGCGGACGACGGGAGCUUGCUCCUUGAUUCAGCGGCGGACGGGUGAGUAAUGCCUAGGAAUCUGCCUGGUAGUGGGGGACAACGUUUCGAAAGGAACGCUAAUACCGCAUACGUCCUACGGGAGAAAGCAGGGGACCUUCGGGCCUUGCGCUAUCAGAUGAGCCUAGGUCGGAUUAGCUAGUAGGUGAGGUAAUGGCUCACCUAGGCGACGAUCCGUAACUGGUCUGAGAGGAUGAUCAGUCACACUGGAACUGAGACACGGUCCAGACUCCUACGGGAGGCAGCAGUGGGGAAUAUUGGACAAUGGGCGAAAGCCUGAUCCAGCCAUGCCGCGUGUGUGAAGAAGGUCUUCGGAUUGUAAAGCACUUUAAGUUGGGAGGAAGGGCAGUAAGUUAAUACCUUGCUGUUUUGACGUUACCGACAGAAUAAGCACCGGCUAACUCUGUGCCAGCAGCCGCAGUAAGAC
rnacentral:rRNA from 1 species